AGGGUUUGAUUAUGGCUCAGGACGAACGCUGGCGGCGCGCCUAACACAUGCAAGUCGAACGGAGUUGUUUUGGAGAAGCCCUUCGGGGUGGAACUGAUUCAACUUAGUGGCGGACGGGUGAGUAACACGUGAGCAACCUGCCUUACAGAGGGGAAUAACGUUUGGAAACGAACGCUAAUACCGCAUAACAUAACGGAAUCGCAUGGUUUUGUUAUCAAAGAUUAUAUCGCUGUAAGAUGGGCUCGCGUCUGAUUAGAUAGUUGGUGAGGUAAUGGCUCACCAAGUCGACGAUCAGUAGCCGGACUGAGAGGUUGAACGGCCACAUUGGGACUGAGACACGGCCCAG
rnacentral:rRNA from 1 species